UGGGGAAUUGUUCACAAUGGGCGCAAGCCUGAUGACGCAACGCCGCGUGGGGGAUGAAGGUCUUCGGAUCGUAAACCCCUGUCGAAUGGGACGAAUAGCCCGCGAAUUAAUACCUCGUGGGAAUGACGGUACCGUUAAAGGAAGCCACGGCUAACUCUGUGCCAGCAGCCGCGGUAAUACAGAGGUGGCAAGCGUUGUUCGGAAUUACUGGGCGUAAAGGGCGCGUAGGCGGCCUUCUAAGUCGGACGUGAAAGCCCCAGGCUUAACCUGGGAACUGCGUCCGAUACUGGGAGGCUUGGAUUCGGGAGAGGGAUGUGGAAUUCCAGGUGUAGCGGUGAAAUGCGUAGAUAUCUGGAGGAACACCGGUGGCGAAGGCGGCAUCCUGGACCGAGAUCGACGCUGAGGCGCGAAAGCUAGGGGAGCAAACGGGAUUAGAUACCCCGGUAGUCCCUGAGCGGGCUGGCAAGGCGCAU
rnacentral:rRNA from 1 species